rnacentral:rRNA from 1 species
UACGGGGGGAGCAAGCGUUGUUCGGAUUUACUGGGCGUAAAGGGCGCGUAGGCGGUCGUGACAAGUCACUUGUGAAAUCUCCGGGCUUAACUCGGAACGGUCAAGUGAUACUGUCGGACUAGAGUACAGAAGGGGGAACUGGAAUUCUCGGUGUAGCGGUGAAAUGCGUAGAUAUCGAGAGGAACACCUGCGGCGAAGGCGGGUUGCUGGGCUGAUACUGACGCUGAGGCGCGAAAGCCAGGGGAGCGAACGGG